UUUAAUGGAUUCUGGUCUAAGCAGUGAGGUUUGGUAUGAGUCAAAUGCUUGUACCUAUAAGAUUGAGCUGUGAUGGGGAAGCACUUUCGAGUGCGAAGUACCUGAUGUCACACUGCCAAGAAAAUCUUCUAGCGUUUAAUUAUAACCUACCCGUACCGCAAACCGACACAGGUAGUCGAGGCGAGUAGCCUCAGGUGAGCGAGAGAACUCUCGUUAAGGAACUCGGCAAAAUGACCCCGUAACUUCGGGAGAAGGGGUGCUCUACAUCUGUAGAGCCGCAGUGAAUAGGCCCAAGCGACUGUUUAUCAAAAACACAGCUCUCUGCUAAAUCGUAAGAUGAUGUAUAGGGGGUGACGCCUGCCCGGUGCUGGAAGGUUAAGAGGAGUGCUUAGCGUAAGCGAAGGUAUGAAUUGAAGCCCCAGUAAACGGCGGCCGUAACGAUAACGGUCCUAAGGUAGCGAAAUUCCUUGUCGGGUAAGUUCCGACCCGCACGAAAGGCGUAACGAUUUGGGCACUGUCUCAACGAGAGACUCGGUGAAAUUUUAGUACCUGUGAAGAUGCAGGUUACCCGCGACAGGACGGAAAGACCCCAUGGAGCUUUACUGCAAGUUGAUAUUGAGUAUCUGUUGCACAUGUACAGGAUAGGUAGGAGCCAUUGAUCUGAGGACGCUAGUUUUCAGUGAGGCGAUGUUGGGAUACUACCCUUGUGUCAUGGCUACUCUAACCCGCAUGCCUAAUCGGCAUGGGAGACAGUGUCUGCUGGGCAGUUUGACUGGGGCGGUCGCCUCCUAAAGAGUAACGGAGGCGCUCAAAGUUUCCCUCAGCAUGGUUGGAAAUCAUGCGUAGAGUGUAAAGGUAUAAGGGAGAUUGACUGCGAGACUUACAAGUCGAGCAGGUACGAAAGUAGGACUUAGUGAUCCGGUGGUACCGCAUGGAAGGGCCAUCGCUCAACGGAUAAAAGCUACCCUGGGGAUAACAGGCUUAUCUCCCCCAAGAGUUCACAUCGACGGGGAGGUUUGGCACCUCGAUGUCGGCUCGUCGCAUCCUGGUGCUGUAGUCGGUCCCAAGGGUCGGGCUGUUCGCCCAUUAAAGCGGCACGCGAGCUGGGUUCAGAACGUCGUGAGACAGUUCGGUCCCUAUCCGUCGCGGGCGUAGGAAAUUUGAGAGGAUCUGCCCUUAGUACGAGAGGACCGGGGUGGACUUACCGCUGGUGUACCAGUUGUCUUGCCAAAGGCAUCGCUGGGUAGCUAUGUAGGGGACGGAUAAACGCUGAAAGCAUCUAAGUGUGAAACCAACCUCAAGAUGAGAUUUCCCAUUCUUUAUGAAUUAAGAGCCCUGAGAGAUGAUCAGGUAGAUAGGCUAGAAGUGGAAGGACAGUGAUGUUUGGAGCGGACUAGUACUAAUAGCUCGAGGACUUUACCG
rnacentral:rRNA from 1 species